rnacentral:misc_RNA from 1 species
GAUGAAGAACGUAGCGAAAUGCGAUACUUGGUGUGAAUUGCAGAAUCCCGUGAACCAUCGAGUCUUUGAACGCAAGUUGCGCCCGAAGCCAUCAGGUUGAGGGCACGUCUGCCUUGGCGUCACAUAUCGUUGCUCGAUGCCUAUCGCAUUGCGAUAGGACUUAGGGCGAAUGAUGGCUUCCCGUGAGCGUUGUUGCCUCGCGGUUGGUUGAAAAUCGAGUCCUUGGUAGGGUGUGCCAUGAUAGAUGGUGGUCGAGUUAGCACGAGACUGAUCAUGUGCAUGCUCCCCAAAAUAUGGCCUCUGUGACCCACACGCGUCUUUUGACGCUCAUGACGAGACCUCAGGUCAGGCGGGGCUACCCGCUGAAUUUAAGCAUAUCAAUAAGCGGAGGA